GGUGACUUUGGGUGUGUUUUUGAGAUUGGCCCUGUUUUUAGGGCAGAAAACUCCUUCACACAUAGGCAUUUGUGUGAAUUUACUGGCCUUGAUGUUGAAAUGGAGAUUAAGAAGCACUAUUGUGAGGUAAUGGACAUUGUGGACAAGUUGUUCGUUACAAUGUUCGACUCAUUGAAUGCGAGUUGCAAGAAAGAACUUGAAGCUAUUGGAAGACAAUACCCCUUUGAACCUUUAAAGUACUUGAGAAAGACCUUGUGGCUUACUUUCAAGAAGAUGUUCAAAUGCUCAAGGGCUGAUUUUGUUGGCUGUUUUGAUAUUCGCGAAAAUGGAGGAUCUCGUGGCUUUGUUUGAGCCCAUUGCAUUGUCUCCGUCGGAGUCUUCGAUAAUAUUGCUACUCCUGGUUUUCUCAUGUUUGCUUUAAGCUGGUUUGGUUUUGUUGUCUCUGUUUUUUCUCUCUUUUGACUGUUCUCCUUUCGGCUCUACUAUAGCUCAUAGCAUCUGAAUAUAUUUUACUCGUAUUCUUGCAAUGCAAAGGAAAAGAGGCAAUAGAUUCUAAGAAGCAAAUGUGAUUUGGUAUGUUAACCUAUAUUGGCAUAUUGUAUUGGGCUACAUAGCUUAGCUGGGUCAAAGCUGAUGUGAUUGGUUCCAUCUUUUUCCUCUCCUUGCUUUUAGUCGUGGGGCUUGGGUUUUUGAGGAUGGGAAUGAAUGGGGCAAUCAAGAGUCCAAAACCCCUCUUUUGUCUUCUGGUCUUGGGGGUUGCACCAGGUGUUAUUUGCUUUUUUAGAAAAUACCCUGUGGGAGAAUUAUGGCUUCAUUCAAAAUGAUUGAUUAUUUGAAUGCAGUGAUACCUGCUUAGAAUCAUGCAUUUGUGGAAAGUCAUGUGUAUUGUUCUUUGCACGUUGCGGGUGCUGGAAGCACUCCACUUCAUUAUGCUGCUUGUGGUGGAAGUGUGCAGUGUUGUCAGUGUGCAGUUGUGGACAGUGAACCAAUUUGGAACACCUACGUUGCACCUUUGUUUCUUUACUUCUAUUAGAUUUAUCACUGAAAGUGAACUUCAACAUUUUUCCUCUAUAUUUCAUUUACCUUCGUUGCUUUACUUAAUUAAGAUUGCUUGCUUCACAGUCAUUAUGUAUCCUUUAGAAGCUGAAUAUAUUAACAUUUAAUGUGGACACAAUGUCACUAAUUUUGUGUCUAA